rnacentral:lncRNA from 10 species
AUCUCUCCGGUGCCCGGGAGAGGGGCCGGGCGGGACGGUACAGCAACCGGAGGAACCUUGAUUCCCUGCCCCGCAAGCCCAGCACCGGUUUUGCCGCCUUGUCUCGAAGGGUCAACCAGGCCAUCUCCUGCCUCGGGACGGAGAGCGCCCUGGAAAAGGCGGAGGGGCCGGUGAGGAGCAGGGCUUCCCUCGCUUCGGGGCUUUGAGCUUCCCUGUGACCGUCAUUUCCUUGUAGCGUAUAAUUGGGUUGGCCAUUAAUAAUUGCUCGAUAACUGCAUAAUGGUGAAACCUGGUACCACUCAAAUGCAACUUUCUUGCUCGUUUUCACAAGUCGAUGUUAUCGAAAUGAAGCACUUUUCUCUGAAUUGGUGUGGGUUUUGGAAUGAUUUUUGCAGAGAUAGUCACGGUGAGUCACUAUCUCUGCCAGGACCUUGGGAAAAUAAAUUCCUCCAAAAUAAAUGGAGAGGGUAGGGUUUUGGCUGUCCAGCCCUGCUGUCAUCCUUAAAACAAAGUGACUUUAAAUGAACAUUUGUUUGGCCAAAAUAUAGAAAAUAGAUCAUGCUAAGAACUAACAAUUACUUGGGAAAAUGCUUAAUCUUCACUAGUGAUCAAAUGCAAGUUUAAAUGACAGAUGCCAUUUACUAUACCUAAUGAGAUUUAAGUCAAAUUCAUAUAUAUAUGAAUCCCAAUUGCAUGGUGUGGUAGAUGUCAGGAAGGAAACAAAUAGGAAACUGACAUAGGAAAGAAAGAAAAAGAGCCCUAUUUUUUAUUUUUUUUUUUUUGUGAGACGGAGUCUUGCUCUGUCGCCCAGGCUGGAGUGCAGUGGCACGAUCUCGGCUCACUGCAAGCUCCGCCUCCCAGGUUCACGCCAUUCUCCUGCCUCAGCCUCCCGAGUAGCUGGGACUACAGGCGCCUGCCACCACGCCCGGCUAAUUUUUUGUAUUUUUAGUAGAGAUGGGGUUUCACCGUGUUAGCUAGGAUGGUUUCGAUCUCCUGACGUCGUGAUCCGCCCGCCUUGGCCUCCCAAAGUGCUGGGAUUACAGGCGUGAGCCACCGCGCCCGGCCAAAAAGAGCCCAAAUGUUUUAGGUCCUGUGGUCAGAAAAGGCCUAAAAUGAAAUUUAAACUGAGACCCAUUGGAUGAGAAGGAACCAGCCUUGCAAAUUGUAUACGGGCAUAAGGGUUGGAGGAGUAUUCCUAGCAGAUGCACAACACAGGAAAAAGCAGGAAACAACUUCUGGUAAACUGGAAGACCAGUGUGGAUGGUAUGUAUUGAGGGAGGGAGUGUCAGGAAAGGAGAUAAAGAGGAUCGUUUCUUGUCUUUGUUUUUUGGGGGAAUAGGGGCCUGGGCUGCCUUAGUAAAUACUUAGUAUUUGCCAUAGUAAAUAGUGAAGCUUGGAUUUUAUUCUAUUCUGUUCAGUCCCAAAGCCAGUCAUGACUCUACCUCAGGGCCUCCCUCCACAUGGAAUAUUCUGCAAAGCUCACUGUCUUCACCUCUUUCAAGUCCUUUGCUCAAAGGUCACCUACUCAGACUCAGUGAAGUCUUCCCUGGACUCUCUGUUUUAUUUUAUUUUUUAUUUUUUGAGGAGUCUCUGUCACCCAGGCUGGAGUGCAGUGGUGCGAUCUCAGCUCACUGCAACCUCCACCUACCAGGUUCAAGCGAUUCUCCUCCCUCAGCCGCCAGAGUAGUCCCACUACAGGCACGUGGCACCAUGCCCAGCUAAAAUUUUUUGUAUUUUUAGUAGAGACAGGGUUUCACCAUGUUGGUCAGGCUGGUCUCAUACUCCUAACCUUAGGUGAUCUGUCCGCCUCGGCCUCCCAAAGUGCUGGGAUUACAGACGUGAGCCACCGUGCCUGGCCUGGACUCUCUUUUAAAUUGUAAACACACACACACACACACACACACACACACACACACACUCUCUCUCUCUCUCUCUCUCCCCAUCCCUCACCCCAUCUUUCCUUCAUAACCCUUACCCCUGUCUAGACUUCAUUUAUUUCAUGAGGGCAGGGAUUUUUGAGGGCCUGGUACAUAGAGGGUGUUCAGUAAAAAUGUGUUUCGUGAAUGAAUAGGAAGCUAUUAAAGAGGGUUAAGUAGAGAGUGACAUAAUUUCUGUUUUUAAAAGCAAGCUGUAGCUGCUGUGGGAAGAACAGAUUAGAGAGAGAUCAGUGUCGAAUCAGGGAGAGUAGUGAAAGAGGAUGCUGGACGUGGUUCAGGUAAGAAAUGAUGCUAGUUUGAGCUAAGGAUUAUGGCUCUGGGGAUGAAGACACUGCUUUGGACUUAAGAUAUAUUUUGAAAGAGGAGCAGACUUACUCAUGUUGUUGGUGGUAAAGAAAAAGGAACAAUGAAUGCAAUGAAUGAUGAUUCUUCUGGCUUGAGUUACAAUGUGAACUGGGGUGCAAUUUCCUGAGAAGGAGAAAUCUGAAGGCAGAGAAGUGUUGGUUUCAUUUUUGACCCAUUGUUUUUGUGACAUCAAAGUAUAAAUAGUAAUUAGGUUGGAUAUGCAAGUCUGGAGCUCAGAGGAGUGGUCUGAAUGGGAAAUACAAAUAUGGUUUGAAAAUCAUGUUUAAAAAGAUAUAUUAAAGACAAUGCUAGGCCGGGCACGGUGGCUCACACCUAUAAUCACAGCACUUUGGGAGGCUGAGGCCGGUGGAUCACGAGGUCAGGAGUUCAAGACUAGCCUGGCCAACAUGGUGAAAUCCUGUCUCUACUAAAAAUACAAAAGUUAGCCAGGCAUGUUGUGCACCUGUAAUCCCAGCUACUCGGGAGGCUGAGGCAGGAGAAUCACUUGAACCUGGGGGUCAGAGGUUGCAGUGAGCUGAGAUCGCAUCACUGCACUCCAGCCUGGGUGACAGAGCAAGAUUCCAUCUCGGGGAAAAAAAAAAAAAAAAAGGAAAAAAAAAAAAGGCAAUGCUUAGCAGUAGUGGAGGUAGGAAUAGAAAGAAACUGAGAAAAUGAUGUCCAGGGAUGUAAGCCCUGGAAGCAUUGGUAGGAAAGAAAAACAGGAAGAUGGAAGGAGUAAAACAGCGAGAUGGGGCUAUGAAUAUGGUUAUGAGAAAGAAGGACAAAGACCGGCG